rnacentral:lncRNA from 1 species
GAAAAGGUGUUAGGCACCCCUCAAGGUCCACAACGGUAGGUCCCAACCGAACAUAACUUCUGCAAAUUAGUCUAAGGAAGUGAAUAAACUAUUAGAAAGAAAGGGGGUCCUAAAUUCUUUAGCCUGUAGGAUCACCCCGUGCAACAUAAGUAAUACUUCAUAACUCCCCCAAGACGGGGGCGUUACUCAUAUUAUUCAACGGUCACAAACUAUCAUCUCUUGCUAUCCAAUUAUUAUCUUUGAGUUUUUACCUAAAACCACUCUAGUUGAUUCUAACUCGAUACCUAUGCUUGCACUAUCGUCCGAUUGGGACCUCUAUUUAAGAAAGUCCUAGACUAGGUCUAAGGUUCUCAAAGUUGUAAAAUGCAUGCAAUUGAUCUAGCAGGCUUUAUUAAUCUUGGAGUCCUAUAGGCAGGAUAUCCAUGUGAUGAACAAGUGAGCAAUAGUGUGCAGAGAUAGUUCUUAAUGUGAGUGUUAGAGUUUAAGUAUAUUUUCCUACUAAUUUUAAUUCAGUACAGUAUCUGGGCGUGUCAUAACACUAAAUCACAAUCAUAAGUCCAGAAUUAUUGUUCAACCUUAUAGGCAUGUUAUGUAAGUGGUUGGAAGUGAUACCAAAUUCCCAAUAAGUUAAUAGAAUCCUAUAGGCAUGACCUCUACAAGUGUGCUGAUACUAUAGGCAUGAUUUCUAUCAUUCAAUUGAUUUUAAUCCUAUAGGCAUGAUUUCUAUCCCUGAACUACUUUUCAUCUGACAAGCAUGAUUUUUAGCUUCGAACUGAUUUUACUGUUGUAGGCAUGAUUUCUAGCAUUGAGUUAAUUUUAAUCCUAUAGACAUGAUUUCUAGAAUGGAGCAGUAUAUGAGCAGGAAUUUGUACACAUCGAGUCAGAAAACAAUUAAGCCAAACAUUGAUCCUACAAGGUGUGAUUGCUAACACACGUUUAUUGGAUAGAUUGAUACACCUAAUGGAAAAAUUCUAGCAAAUCAUAACAUCAAUCUUAUAGGCAAGAUCAAUAGCAUGCAAACAUAACAUAGGACUUAUAAGCAUGAAAUGAAAUAGUACAAAUGAGAUCUUAUAGGUAGGAUUUCUACCCGAUUUAGCAAAUAAAAAUAAGAAACCCUUCCCGAUUUUACUAAAUACCCCAGAGCUGUUUGUUACAAAUUAUUACAGACCAUAUUAAUGAAUGAAUUACACAAUCAUUAAAUAGACUAUAGAGAGCCUACAACAUGCCCAAAUACACUGGGGCGACCCAGGCCUCCAAACCACAGCACCUCCAAGGCUCACUUUCACAGGUAUAGAAUAAUCACUCAUAAUAUCCAGAUCUCUAGUGUGCCAAAGUUCCCAACAGCUUCAAGGACCCAGGGCAAUGCUUACACUAGAGGACCAAAUGCUCAAACACAAAUCAAAGGAGGUUAGGAACCAAACCCCAGUGUGUCAGAGUCAAGAGUCUUACAUGGAUCCCAAGCAGUAGUUACGCUGAUGAGGUAAAGGAUAGAACCUAACGGACCUAAGAAUAGGAGUUUUAAAAGUAGUAGCAUAUAAAAAGGGACUUUGGUAAAGGUCAGAUUUUAAAAGAGGUUCAAUUUUAGAAAAAGCCAUCAUGACAGAGUUUAAAACAUAGAAUAUAGGCAAAAAUUGCAUUAAGAAACAAAUUGGCAAGAUUUGCAAAGUUGUUCAUGCGCAAUAUCUAAUGGGUUAAAGUCUGAAAGGCCUAAUUUGGCGAAGUGUACAUGUUAAAAUUUUAGGGCAGCUUGUUUAAUCACAGAAAACAUUUAGACAAUGUAUUAUGCAAACAGUCAGAUAAUCACAUGAAUCCAAACGAAUGCAAAACAUAUUAGAAGGCAAGUUAUUAUGGCACAUGAAUGACAGAGAAAGGUUUAAUAACAUUACCAGUUUAUAAAGACUCGGGACUGAUUAACUUAUGAACAUACUAGUCUUAUUCUAAAGAUGCUAAGUUCAAGAUAGUUUCAGAACUAGCAAAGCAUCAUGCAUGAAGCAAGUUAAAAGACAUUAAGCUAAUCACCUAACAGGAUUCAUAUUAUUCAAAACAACCAGUAUCAGAACUAACAGUAUUAAUUAGAGGACUAAGGAGACUCAUACGAAAAUGAAAUUAGCAGAAUCAUGCUCAAAAGAUAAAUUUUAAACAUGCUCAAAGGGUAAAUUCUAAACAUGCUGGAUCAUAAACAUAGUUCAUGGAUACAUAGGAAUUAAAUGAUAAAAGGAUAGUCACUCGCCAGUUAGGCAAGAAAAUAGGAAUAACACCACAAUAGUCACAUAAUCAAUUAAGAUCUAACUUUUUAGGGAAAAUAAUACAUAAACAAAGAGUUCAUAAUAUUAACAGAGAAUAAUGGCAUGUAAUCAUGCAAGUAACACUUAAAAUAAGGGAUACAAUAGAGAAUAAGGAAAAUAUCACAUAAAAAUCGAUUAACAAUAAGAUUUAGGGAAAAAUAAGGUUAAAUAAAGGAAACACUGCAGAUUAAAUAUAAAUAAGGAAAAUAUUAGUCAAAUACGAGAAAGGAAAGUGUAUCAAUCAGAAAUCAAUAAAGAACAAGCAAAGGUCUCAAACCCCAGUUGAGAUUGAUGCUUUGAAUCAGACCUGAGAUGUAAGAAUCGUUCAACAAAACAUGUAUAUGGACGAAAGAUCUUCCAGAUCUUCACAGAAUCAGGGUGAAUCUGCCAUUAUUGAGGUAGUUCUUUCUAUAAAUGGGGAAAGAAUCUAAGUAAUACCAUAGACGAGCGUAUAAUUAUAGAGUAACACAAAAUGGGUAAGUAAAUCAUGGAUUUAUUCCAUAUUUGAGCCGGAAUAGAAGAGAUCUGGGGGUGACUGUGAUAGGGUUUGAUAGAAUAAGGUGAAGUUCGUGAGAGUAUAGAGACGGCAGGGAUGGGCUAAUGAGGGUUAGCAUUUGGUAUAGGUAUGUUAAUUAAAAGAAAAGGAGUGAUAUGAUCCAUUGAUCUCUGAGAUCAAUGACUGUGAUUUGAAAAAGGCCGGGUCAGUUCCGGAUUGGGUUAAAGGGUUAAGGAUUGGGCAUAUGUGUUGGGCCAAGAAUUUGGGUAGGUGUUUUAGGUAACUGGGCUAAGGGGUUGGUAGUUUAGGUCCGAAAUUAGUGAGUUUAGAGGCUAUUAGAUAAAUACCUAAUUUCAUUAAUAAAUUAAUUUGUAAAAAAUGAUAAAUAAAAGUGAAAAAUACGAUUAAUAACAAUUAUUUAUUACUAUAAAAGCAUAAAAAGUUAUUUUUGCGUAAGUAAAGU